rnacentral:rRNA from 1 species
AACGAACGCUGGCGGCAUGCCUAACACAUGCAAGUCGAACGAGACCUUCGGGUCUAGUUGCGCACGGGGGCGUAGCGCGGGGGAAGCUGCCCUUAGGUUCGGAAUACCUCCCCGACAGGGGUGCUAAUACCGGAUAAUGUCUUCGGACCAAAGAUUUAUCGCCUUUGGAUGGGCCCGCGAUGGAUUAGCUAGUUGGUAGGGUAAAAGCCUAUCAAGGCGACGAUCCAUAGCUGGUCUGAGACGAUGAUCAGCCACCCUGGGACUGAGACACGGCCCAGACUCCUACGGGAGGCAGCAGUGGGGAAUAUUGGACAAUGGGCGAAAGCCUGAUCCAGCUAUGCCGCGUGAGUGAUGAUGGCCUUAGAGUUGUAAAGCUCUUUUACCCGGGAUGAUAAUGACAGUACCGGGAGAAUAAGCACCGGCUAACUCCGUG